rnacentral:lncRNA from 1 species
CAGAAAUCUAGGGUUCAGAGGUCCAGGAUGAAAGUUUCAGUGACCUCUUGGGAGGUUACCAAGGAGGAAAUGGUUCAUAUGCUUGCUACCUUCCAAACAGCUCUUCAGGCAGAAGCAGGUACACAGACAGUGCUGGCGGAAAAACCUGAGAAGCAGCUAUCAGUAUUAGACCACAUACGAAAGCCUCUUCGGGACAUUUGCAAGCAUCCAGAGCAGAGAUGAUUUGUUUCUAUGGCAUUACGUUCUUAACCAAGUUCCAGAAUGACUCUCCGGCCCUGGAUUGGGCGACUUUGUUGUCUGUGCUUCUGAUUCAUAGAAAGAGGGAAUAUUAGGGGAAGAGGUUGGAAUAUGACAGCUAUACUUACUGGUUUCUUGUGCCUUCUCCCAGAGAUAUUCUUUGCUUCUAUAGGCAGAUUUUGAUUUAAAGCAAAUAUUGAAUUAUCCUUUGGUCCUGCUGUGUGUGUUUGAAGUGCUCGCGGAUCAUCCAAGUGGAGAGAGCACCGAGUAGGCCCUCCUUACUU